GGAAUUGUUCACAAUGGGCGCAAGCCUGAUGACGCAAUGCCGCGUGGAGGAUGAAGGUCUUCGGAUUGUAAACUCCUGUUGCCAGGGACGAAUGGCUCCGACCUAACACGUCGGAGAAUGACGGUACCUGAUGAGGAAGCCCCGGCUAACUCUGUGCCAGCAGCCGCGGUAAUACAGAGGGGGCAAGCGUUGUUCGGAAUUACUGGGCGUAAAGGGCGCGUAGGCGGCCCGCUAAGUCGAACGUGAAAUCCCCAGGCUCAACCUGGGAACUGCGUCCGAUACUGGCAGGCUUGAAUCCGGGAGAGGGAUGUGGAAUUCCAGGUGUAGCGGUGAAAUGCGUAGAUAUCUGGAGGAACACCGGUGGCGAAGGCAAUCCCCUGGGCCUGCACUGACGCUCAUGCACGAAAGCGUGGGGAGCAAAC
rnacentral:rRNA from 1 species